rnacentral:rRNA from 1 species
UACAGAGGGUGCGAGCGUUAAUCGGAAUUACUGGGCGUAAAGCGUGCGUAGACGGCUAUCUAAGUCAGAUGUGAAAGCCCCGGGCUCAACCUGGGAAUUGCAUUUGAGACUGAAUAGCUAGGGUGCGGUAGAGGGAAGCGGAAUUUCCGGUGUAGCGGUGAAAUGCGUAGAUAUCGGAAGGAACAUCAGUGGCGAAAGCGGCUUCCUGGACCAGCACCGACGUUCAGGCACGAAAGCGUGGGGAGCAAACAGG